CCUACUGGAGGCAGCAGUGAGGAAUAUUUGUCAAUGGGCGGGCGCCUGAACCAGCCAAGUCGCGUGAGGGAAGACGGUCCUAUGGAUUGUCAACCUCUUUAGGCGGGGAUCAAUGCCGGGCACGCGUGCCCGGAGGGAGAGUACCCGCAGAAUAAGCAUCGGCUAACUCCGUGCCAGCAGCCGCGGUAAUACGGAGGAUGCGAGCGUUAUCCGGAUUUAUUGGGUUUAACGGGAGCGUAGGCCGGUCUUUAAGCGUGCCGUGAACUUUUGUGGCUCAACCAUGAGAGUGCGGCGCGAACUGGAGACCUGGAGUGCGCGGAAGGCAGGCGGAAUUCGUGGUGUAGCGGUGAAAUGCUGAGAUAGCACGAAGAACCCCGAUUGCGAAGGCAGCCUGCCGCAGCGUUACUGACGCUGAAGCUCGAAAGCGCGGGUAUCGAACAGGAUUAGAUACCCGAGUAGUC
rnacentral:rRNA from 1 species